rnacentral:lncRNA from 1 species
GCAGGGGUGUAUUCAUUACACCGAUUCUGUUCUAAACGUUUUGCAACAAACCCUUUACUCCAAACAAUGUUGAGUUCCGUUUUUAAACUGUCGUAGUUCAGUCGUGUCUCUUCCAAAAAAAUAAGCGGCUGGAAGAAGGUGGAAGGAACACUGCUGACUUCACUCCACGUUAGAGCAUGGAAUAAUUGAUAGAUGUGGAGUUUGUGCAGAACACUUAGCAGAUUAUUCCGAUUGGAAUGGCAACUCUUGUAAACCAUACAAUUAAAAUGAACUACAACUUCCGUUUAAGAACCCAACAGCUUUUACGUCCACGUUGAAGAGUGUUAGGAUUAAACGGUUUCUGUUACAAAACAUAUGAAACGUUUUGCAACAUAAUCGGCGUAAUGAAUACACCCCCAGGUACUUGCGGUUGUGUUUGAAUGUGAGCUGUGACUGGGCCGUGUGAUCCCGGUCCAAAGACCAAUGUUAUGGCUCAAGAAUCUUCAUAAACUAUCAUUUUAGGAACUCUGUACGGCAAGCAUUGGGGGGGGCAACAAGAGCACCCACGUCUCGUAUGAAGAGGGCAUUAGGAGUUGACAGUUCUUCAAAGUCACCACAGAGAACUUCAAGAAGGACAAACACGACGUUUGCAACACCUUCAAGUGUGUUGACAUCAAGCCAGUGUGUGGUGACCAGCAGAGUCAGAUCCUGAAGUGCUUCAGGGAAAACAUAGGACAGACCCUCGCCUGCUCUGGCAUCGCCAACCUUUACAUGCAGUGUGUGGAUAACCACAAGACUAAGUGCACUGGAGGGUAGAAGAGCCUUAAUUUCCACCAAUUGCAUUACUGUUAAACCAAAGGGACAGGCACCAUCAGCCAUCAAGGCACACCAAAGCCAGUUGAACUGUACAGACACCAGGGCCACAGCAGCUGUUCCACCAUUCCUUACUCCCAUCCAUGGUAUCUGUAUGAACUUGGCACAGGGUCAGAGGUAGAACGAGGAGACCAUGUCUUGACCCAGUCCAGGCUAUGACAGACCACUGGUACUGUCUUCGCUGGUACUGAUGUCAAAGGAUGUGGUAGAUUGGGUCUGAAAGUGAAGGAAGUGCAGUUCAAAUUGACAGUGCUACUACCACAGGAAACGGACAGUGUUACCAUGACUACACUAACACAAGAAAUAAAGCAUAGCUGGUGCUUCAAACACAUCUCAUCCCUGACUGGACGUAAACGCAUCAUAUAAUAUAUCCACCAAUCGAAAUAAUGGGAUUAAUAUUUUGCUAUUUACAGCAGUAAGAAACAUAAGGAAUGGCCGCGUUGUGAAAUAUAUUGUGCAUCGUUUGUGGAGUUAAUAUGAACCUAUGCCUUAAUGUUCCAUCAAAACAUAUUUCUGAAUCAUGGAGGGUGUGAAAGGGAGUUGUUCUGAGCUCAAUAAAUUGUUGUGAAACCCCUAUCAGCCUUCAGAUUUGAAUGUAUAUCAGUUUAGUGAUAAGAAUGUGAAAUGAAAAGAGAAUGUUCGAUUUACUUGGAUAGCACUACGUGUGGACAUGCUUCCCUUCCUAUAGAACAUUUACACAGUUGGAUAUGGAGAGCAUAACAAGUCAACAACAUACCCAAAGAGUACUUUAUCUUUAAAACGGUUAGCAUUUUAACUUUACCUGUGUGGAAAUAGAUCAUCUUUUGAUACCUGUCACUCUGUGUAUAGGUUACUGCGCUCAUGUUUUUUUGGCCAUUGGAUUGCGCACCAUUUUGUAAUACUGCAGCCUGAGAUGGGGCGACCCGGGUGUACUGUAUCUCAGAGGUGGCACCACAGGUCCCAGUGUGGUGUGGCGUAGAAAAAUUCUAGUUUUUCCUAAUCUGGUAACCUAACCAAGUAAAAUGCUGAACCUUACACGGUAUAACGUGAUUCAUCUGUUGUAAAAUGGGCUAUGAUGGGACCAGAGUUUUUGGUUGAAAAAACUCCUGGAAAAACUCCUGGCCUUGGGGAGGAUGAAAACCCUGUCAAACUGCAGCAACCUUAUACUUGUUCAUAUGAAUUAUAUUUUAAAACAGGACUAACGGGGUUUCCUAUACAUAGGCACAUAGAAAGCAACAUAAUUUUACAAUUAAACUCACAGGGCUGCACUUGCUUUAUGCAGGUUUGCAUUGUGUAGUCAUGCCCUAUGCAAUUAACUGUGUGCCUCAUUAAAAAUGUAUUCAGUCUGUCAGCUAUUGUAUUUAUUGAUUCAUUCCAGUUAAUCAUUUUGGAUUGGAAAAAGUCUAGGUAGCCUAGUCAGCCCAAAUUUGAAUAUAAAACCAAUUUGAUCCCAUUCACAUUUCCUCACACACAAAUGGGCUAUAAAUGCACACAAUUACCACUUAAUGUAC